rfam:Pan troglodytes isolate Yerkes chimp pedigree #C0471 (Clint) chromosome 6, whole genome shotgun sequence.
AUCGCUUCUCGGCCUUUUGGCUAAGAUCAAGUGUAGAAUAUUCUCUUCCCGUUAUCUAGAAAAAAAUGAUUAACAAAAUCCAAUAAUACUGAAUAUAUCUUUUAUAUGUGGUCUACAAUUGAUAGUAAUCAUUUACUGCACAAGCUAAGACUGGAAAACAUACC